rnacentral:rRNA from 1 species
AGCGAACGCUGGCGGCAGGCCUAACACAUGCAAGUCGAGCGGGCAUAGCAAUAUGUCAGCGGCAGACGGGUGAGUAACGCGUGGGAACGUACCUUUUGGAUAGGAACAACUGAGGGAAACUUCAGCUAAUACCGGAUAAGCCCUUACGGGGAAAGAUUUAUCGCCGAAAGAUCGGCCCGCGUCUGAUUAGCUAGUUGGUGAGGUAAUGGCUCACCAAGGCGACGAUCAGUAGCUGGUCUGAGAGGAUGAUCAGACACUUUUGGACGGGGACACGGCCGAAAAUACUGCGGGAGGCGGCAGUGGGGAAUAUUGGACAAUGGGCGCAAGCCUGAUCGAGCCAUGCCGCGUGAGUGAUGAAGGCCAGAGGGAUGUAAAGCUCUUUUGUGCGGGAAGAUAAUGACGGUACCGCAAGAAUAAGCCCCGGCUAACUUCGUGCCAGCCGCCGCUGUAA